AGCAGCCGCGGUAAUUCCAGCUCCAAUAGCGUAUAUUAAAGUUGUUGCAGUUAAAAAGCUCGUAGUUGAAUUUCGGGAUCAGUAUGUCGGUCGUGCUUCGGUACGUACUGGUAUGAUUGGUUUCUCCUUUCUGACGAACCAUGAUGUCAUUAAUUUGGUGUCUUGGGAAAUCAGGACUGUUACUUUGAAAAAAU
rnacentral:rRNA from 1 species